rnacentral:rRNA from 1 species
AUACGGAGGGGGCUAGCGUUGUUCGGAAUUACUGGGCGUAAAGCGCGCGUAGGCGGACCAGUCAGUCAGGGGUGAAAUCCCGGGGCUCAACCCCGGAACUGCCUUUGAUACUGCUGGUCUUGAGUUCGAGAGAGGUGAGUGGAAUUCCGAGUGUAGAGGUGAAAUUCGUAGAUAGUCGGAGGAACACCAGUGGCGAAGGCGGCUCACUGGCUCGAUACUGACGCUGAGGUGCGAAAGCGUGGGGAGCAAACAGGAUUAGAAACCCUAGUAGUCC